AUUUAAAAUAUCAUGCGUGGCAAGUUACUGUACAUGUUUUACAAGUAGGCCCUAAGGAAAAUUGAAAAUGUUUUAACAGUAGAAAGAUAUUCUCUUUUACAGUGCAAGAAGUAUAAAAAUCUGGUAGCACAUUAUUUUCCAGACGAUGUUGUUGAUACAGAAAAUACAACAGAGACAGCUCGAUCAUUGCAAACGAAAAGACCAUAGCAGACGACGGACUUGUUACAAAACGUGACAUGCAUCAUAAACAAGGCAGCCGACACUCUGAGACAAGAGUUGCCUAGCAACACCAUCACCGUAACAGUGAGGCCAGCAGACGACAACAUAUCAUUGUCCUCCAGUAUCAUCAGCCAAAUUGCUGAUAUGUCUGUAACGGAGAGUCUGUCAUCCAUUGUUAAGGAUGCCAAUGUCAACCACUCUGCUAUUAGGGCUGCUAAAACUGUCAACUAAUUCAAGGAAGCAGUUUGCUUCAUCCGGAUAUGACGUCAUUGAUGACGGUAUUCCACCUGUAAGCGUGUAAG